rnacentral:rRNA from 1 species
CCUACGGGAGGCAGCAGUGGGGAAUCUUGCACAAUGGGGGGAACCCUGAUGCAGCGACGCCGCGUGAGUGAAGAAGUAUUUCGGUAUGUAAAGCUCUAUCAGCAGGGAAGAAAAUGACGGUAACUGACUAAGAAGCCCCGGCUAACUACGUGCCAGCAGCCGCGGUAAUACGUAGGGGGCAAGCGUUAUCCGGAUUUAAUGGGUGUAAAGGGAGCGCAGACGGCUGUGCAAGUCUGGAGUGAAAGGCGGGGGCUCAACCCCCGGACUGCUCUGGAAACUGUAAAGCUGGAGUGCAGGAGAGGUAAGCGGAAUUCCAAGUGUAGCGGUGAAAUGCGUAGAUAUUAGGAAGAACACCAGUGGCGAAGGCGGCUUACUGGACUGCAACUGACGCUGAGGUUCGAAAGCGUGGGGAGCAAACAGGAUUAGAUACCCCUGUAGUC